GAUGAACGCUAGCGGCAGGCCUAAUACAUGCAAGACGAACGGUAAGUUGAGUAGCAAUACUUAGCCAAGAGUGUCGUACGGGUGCGUAACACGUAUGCAACCUACCCUAUACAGGAGGAUAGCCUAGGGAAACCUGGAUUAACCCUUCAUAGUAUUAUUGGAUGGCAUCAUUUGAUAAUUAAAACUGAGGUGGUAUAGGAUGGGCAUGCGUCUGAUUAGUUAGUUGGCGGGGUAAUGGCCCACCAAGACGAUGAUCAGUAGGGGUUCUGAGAGGAAGAUCCCCCCACACUGGCACUGAGAUACGGGCCAGACUCCUACGGGAGGCAGCAGUAGGGAAUAUUGGUCAAUGGAUGCAAGUCUGAACCAGCCAUGCCGCGUGCAGGAAGAAGGGCCCUUCUGGGUUGUAAACUGCUUUUGCCAGGGGAUAAAAUUUCCAUGCGUGGAAAACUGAAGGUACCUGGUGAAUAAGCCACGGCUAACUACGUGCCAGCAGCCGCGGUAAU
rnacentral:rRNA from 1 species